GAUAAACGCUGGCGGCGCACAUAAGACAUGCAAGUUGAACGGACUUAAUCGAAAUAUUUAUAUUUUGAAGCGGUUAGUGGCGGACUGGUGAGUAACGCGUAAGGAACCUGCCUAUUAGAGGGGAAUAACAGUGAGAAAUCAUUGCUAAUACCGCAUAUGCCAUAGAUAUCACAUGAUAACAGUGGGAAAGGAGCAAUCCGCUAAUAGAUGGCCUUGCGUCUGAUUAGAUAGUUGGUGGGGUAACGGCCUACCAAGUCGACGAUCAGUAGCCGGACUGAGAGGUUGAACGGCCACAUGGGGACUGAGAUACGGCCCAGACUCCUACGGGAGGCAGCAGUCGGGAAUAUUGCGCAAUGGAGGAAACUCUGACGCAGUGACGCCGCGUAUAGGAAGAAGGUUUUCGGAUUGUAAACUAUUGUCGUUAGGGAAGAGAAAGGACAGUACCUAAGGAGGAAGCUCCGGCUAACUACGUG
rnacentral:rRNA from 1 species